AGCGAACGCUGGCGGCAGGCCUAACACAUGCAAGUCGAACGAACCUUUCGGGGUUAGUGGCGGACGGGUGAGUAACACGUGGGAACGUGCCUUUAGGUUCGGAAUAACUCAGGGAAACUUGUGCUAAUACCGAAUGUGCCCUUCGGGGGAAAGAUUUAUCGCCUUUAGAGCGGCCCGCGUCUGAUUAGCUAGUUGGUUGAGGUAAUGGCUCACCAAGGCGACGAUCAGUAGCUGGUCUGAGAGGAUGAUCAGCCACAUUGGGACUGAGACACGGCCCAAACUCCUACGGGAGGCAGCAGUGGGGAAUCUUGCGCAAUGGGCGAAAGUCUGACGCAGCCAUGCCGCGUGAAUGAUGAAGGUAUUAGGAUUGUCAAAUUCUUUCACCGGGGAAGAUAAUGACGGUACCCGGAGAAGAAGCCCCGGCUAACUUCGUG
rnacentral:rRNA from 1 species